rnacentral:rRNA from 1 species
GACGAACGCUGGCGGCGUGCUUAACACAUGCAAGUCGAACGGAAAGGCCCUGCUUUUGUGGGGUGCUCGAGUGGCGAACGGGUGAGUAACACGUGAGUAACCUGCCCUUGACUUUGGGAUAACUUCAGGAAACUGGGGCUAAUACCGGAUAGGAGCUCCUGCUGCAUGGUGGGGGUUGGAAAGUUUCGGCGGUUGGGGCUGGACUCGCGGCUUAUCAGCUUGUUGGUGGGGUAGUGGCUUUCCAAGGCUUUGACGGGUAGCCGGCCUGGGAGGGUGACCGGCCACAUUGGGACUGAGAUACGGCCCAGACUCCUACGGGAGGCAGCAGUGGGGAAUAUUGCACAAUGGGCGGAAGCCUGAUGCAGCAACGCCGCGUGCGGGAUGACGGCCUUCGGGUUGUAAACCGCUUUCGCCUGUGACGAAGCGUGAGUGACGGUAAUGGGUAAAGAAGCACCGGCUAACUACGUG